GGGGUGUGUUGGUGUGUUGGUGUAAGAGGAAUACAGGCCCUGCAGGGAUAAAUCCUGGGACAAGGAAGGAACAGAGAAGGCCCGACUGAUUUCAUGAAGGCCCAGGAGGAGUAACUCGUAUUACCCCAUCCCUACCGGUACCCAGGAACCCAGAUGGAGACUAACAGCCAGACAGAGAAGAGAGAAAAGAAGGGACAUUUACCUCUCAUUAAGACCUAAUGGAGUCAUGGAAUUCAAGGAGCUCCUAAGCCUGAAGAGGUGUUAGAGAUAUGCUUAAGG